GUGCUUGCUUGGUCAAUCUGAAACCCUGGGAGACUGUCUCCUGUGACCAGCACACCUGCACGGCAGAAUGCUGCUAAGAAAACUGCUCUGUGAAGUCACAGCGUGCUGUCUCAGUGACACUACCCAGAAAUCCACAUGGUUCUUCCAGGGGACGUGGCACCCGUUCCCACCUAAGGCAGCACAUUUCUGUGACCCUGUGACAUCCAGGAUUUUUUUCGUCUCUAGUGUGUUCCAGAGUAUGGCACAUCUGCCACCGGAGGUCCCUGAGAUGACUCUGGAAGGUAUGUGAACACGUUUUGAAAUUUUUAUAGAUUCACUCUAUUCAUUUUAAGACAGAUUACUUUUCUAUAGCUACAGCUGAUUAUUUUCCUUUUUUCUCUUUUUUUUGGGGGGGGAGGGGAGCAAAGUAGAGAAGAAAUAGCUUUAUUGCUUUGCCAGGCAAAGGGGGCCACAGCAGGCUAGUGCCCUCAAAACUGUGUCCCCAGUUAUUUUUCUACAGAUAGAAACAUAACUAGCACAUCAAACCUCUGAAUUAGGUACUAUUGCUUAAGAUGAGAUUAAGUUAGCACUAGUAGAUUCAAAGAUAAAUAGUAAAUUAAAAAAAAACAGUGAAAGUACAUGGAUAUGACAAUAACCAUGAAGGUGCUACAAGAGGGACUGCUCUCUCUCACGCUGCCUAAGACGUCAUGAUACUUCUUCAGAAUUGGAUAAUAUGAUACCUGGCCCUCAUCCAUCCUUCUUCCUGCAGUAUUUCAAAUAAUCCACCACAGGCAAGGAAGGUAACUUAGCGACUAGCUUUCUGGGCUCCCCUUUCCUGCAUAGCUGGUGCAGCAAAGCAGAGCCCAUCUGCUGGACUACCUGCGCUGUGUUUGGGUAACAGAGAAGAUGGUGGGCAUUUUUCUGUUCAGUGGCCACUGAGUUCACUGGAUUUGUUUUAUUUUUGAGAAAGAAGAAGAGGAAGGUAAUGAUCUCCUUCCCAGGACCCCUGGGCAGCUGACUUGGAGUCACAGGACUUGCUAUCCUGGAGGCAUUUCAACACCAGGCACAGGCCCUUGGAGAGCAAAUCCCAUGACUCCACGGAACUGCCCCUACUCCCUAUUGUGCCAGAAUGCUCCUGCCAAUAAUACUGCUCAAGUCCAUGGGUCCUAAAAAAAAAAAAUCUUAUUUUAUAGGAAUUUUAUGGCAUGAAGGCACUUGAUCUUGUAGAAUUUAAUAUUGUUUAACAAUUGUCAUUUAUUUAUUGAGUUAAAACCUUUUUUUUCUAGAAAGGAUGUGAGAUGGCUUACAAAAAUACACACAAUAAGUUAAAACUUUAAACAAGUAGAUGUGGAAACUGGGACAAAAGUGUGGGCAGGAAAAAUAAAAUGAAGCCAAGAAUGGGGCCUGUCA
rnacentral:lncRNA from 1 species